AGUGAACGCUGGCGGUAGGCCUAACACAUGCAAGUCGAACGGCAGCACAGUAAGAGCUUGCUCUUACGGGUGGCGAGUGGCGGACGGGUGAGGAAUACAUCGGAAUCUACUUUUUCGUGGGGGAUAACGUAGGGAAACUUACGCUAAUACCGCAUACGACCUACGGGUGAAAGCAGGGGAUCUUCGGACCUUGCGCGAUUGAAUGAGCCGAUGUCGGAUUAGCUAGUUGGCGGGGUAAAGGCCCACCAAGGCGACGAUCCGUAGCUGGUCUGAGAGGAUGAUCAGCCACACUGGAACGGAGACACGGACCAGACUCCUACGGGAGGCAGCAGUGGGGAAUAGUGGACAAUGGGCGCAAGCCUGAUCCAGCCAUACCGCGUGGGUGAAGGAGGCCUUCGGGUUGUAAAGCCCUUUUGUUGGGAAAGAAAAGCAGCAGGUUAAUACCCCGCUGUUCUGACGGUACCCAAAGAAUAAGCACCGGCUAACUUCGUG
rnacentral:rRNA from 1 species